rnacentral:lncRNA from 1 species
GGAAAAAUAAGCCUGCCCCUGUGCAGAGAAAAGCAUUCCAAAGCUAACCAGGAGAUAUCAAAAAUAAUUUUCUGCAUAUUGGGACAAAGUCACCUCCAGUCCUUUGUAGGCACCACGGUUGCCAAGGACGCAACAGCCUCGAGUUAGUGCCGGUGAUUGAAAGUCAGCCAGACCCGAGGUACCGUGAGUGAGAUGGCACACGUGGCACUAAAACCUGUUGUGCUGCUGCAAAAGGAGUGUCUCGUGUCAUCUCCCAGGCUCCUAGAGCAUCGUCUCUUAUCUCGUGGAGCUAACACAUGCCUUGCCCACGGAAGGCCCUCGGUGCUAUUGAACGCAGUGCGUACGCAGUGCAUUUUCCAGGUUCAGAGGAAGCGAUGCAGCCCAGGACCCUUCUCUACGGUCACUGAGUCGUGACCACGUACAUUAAACGGACUCGGUUUACUCCUCAUAAAAUUCUAUCAUGUGAGAUAAACGCUAACGCUUUUAUUCCUAGACUGUACGGGAAGAAAGCCAACAGCAGGCAGCCCGAAGGAUGUAGCCAGGUUCUCACGCUCGUAAGGGGCAAAUCCAGACUCAAACCUAGAUUUUGGUCUGAGGCCCGGGUCAUUUGCUACGACGACCAACUCUCAGAGCCACCGUCAUCCCCCUGCCGGCCCCGAACCCUCCCGCCAAAGCUGCCACUAUGGCCUGGGCCUGCCCCACGCUGCCCCCGGGACUCUGCUGGGCAAGUCAGGCCUGUGGCCCUGGGACCCCCGAGCCACUCAGAGCUUGUACCAGAGCGACCUGACCACAGGCCAAGACGCUGGCUUCCACGGGGGAUAACGUGGGGGAGGGAGAGGGGCCACCAGGUAGACUCAGCCGCACCCCCCGCUGAAGCAGACUGUGCAGGCCGGCCGCCAGGCCCCCUAAGGACAAGCGUGGACGUGGGGAGGUCGGAAGGUGGAGCAGGUGUGCGGGUCGCGCAGCCGUCACCUGCGGGCGUGUCUGCACCUGCCGGAUGGCGGGUACCUACGGGUCCUGGCGCCACCUUUGCUUCGGGGCCGCUGCGGCUGAGGCUCGCCUGGGGGAGAAGGUGCGAGAGCUGGUCCGUGGCCCGACGUGGUCUUGCCUUCGCCCCGCGUGACCGCUUCACCCACCCCGUCUCCUUCUCCCGCGGGCACCCCGAUUCAGCGGACGUAGCACCCUGUGGACCCUCCUCCAGGCACCCCGAUCUCUUCUUCCCCAGUCCUCCCGGACCCUGGCACGCCCCUCAGCCACAGCUUGUCGUGGCCCGAGCUCUUCGGGUGUCCUUGCAGGAAGGGGCGAGCGAGGCCGGCCCACGAAGCUGGGCGCUGUCGGUAGAUCAGGCCCUUGCUCAGGCUUCUGCUCUUGGCUUUUUUUUUUUUUUCCCUAAGAAAAACCAGGACAGUGAAUGAG